rnacentral:pre_miRNA from 1 species
AAUAAGUGCAGCUGUGGAUAUCCGUGCCCAACGUUUGACCGUUCGUCUUAUUUGAAAAAUUUGUGAAAAAUUUAAAAAUAUUUAGUCACACAUAAAGUACUAUUUAUGUUUUAUCAUUUAAUAGUAAUAAAAAUACUAAUAAAAAAAUUUCAAAUAAGACGAACGGAUAGUACAAAACUAUACUUAUU